AACGAACGCUGGCGGCGUGGCUAACCCAUGCAAGUCGAGCGUGAACGUUCCCUUCGGGGAGCUAGUAGCGCGGCGAAAGGGUGAGGAAUACAUGGGUAACGUACCCCGGGCACGAGGAUAACCCGCUGAAAGGCGGCGUAAUACUCGAUGAGACCACGCGGGGGCAUCCCCAAGUGGUCAAAGGGCGGGGAUCCGACUUGUCGGACCUGCUGGCCCGGGAGCGGCUCAUGUCCCAUCAGCUUGUUGGCGGGGUAAUGGCCCACCAAGGCAACGACGGGUAGCCGGACUGAGAGGUCGAUCGGCCACAUUGGGACUGAGACACUGCCCAGACUCCUACGGGAGGCUGCAGGGACGAAUAUUGGGCAAUGGGCGAAAGCCUGACCCAGCGACGCCGCGUGUGGGAAGAACCCCUUCGGGGUGUAAACCACUGUCGAGGGUUACCAAGCAAAUCCGCCCAAUAAGCGGAGGCGUUGAGGAGCCCCAAAGGAAGCCACGGCUAACUCCGUGCCAGCAGCCGCGGUAAGACGGAGGUGGCAAGCGUUGUUCGGAAUUACUGGGCUUAAAGGGCACGUAGGCGGCCUGUCAAGCGUCCUGUGAAAUCCCUCGGCUCAACCGAGGAAUUGCUGGGCGAACUGGCAGGCUUGAGGCAGGUAUGGGCGCGUGGAACUCUUGGUGGAGCGGUGAAAUGCAUAGAUAUCAAGAGGAACGCCAGUGGCGAAAGCGACGCGCUGGGCCUGUUAGAGGUUUCCAAACGCAAUGAAUCGUGUUUGGAGACCUCGCCUGACGCUGAGGUGCGAAAGCUAGGGGAGCGAACGGGAUUAGAUACCCCGGUAGUCCUAGCUGUAAACGAUGUCCACUAGGUUAGGGUUCUUUUGACAGAUUCCCGACCGAAGCGAAAGCGUUAAGUGGACCGCCUGGGGAGUACGGUCGCAAGGCUAAAACUCAAAGGAAUUGACGGGGGCUCACACAAGCGGUGGAGCAUGUUGCUUAAUUCGAUGCAACGCGAAGAACCUUAUCCUGGGCUUGAAAAGCACUGAUGCGGCGCCCGAAAGGGAUGUCCGCUGCCCUUCGGGGUGAAACGUGUACAGGUGCUGCAUGGCUGUCGUCAGCUCGUGUCGUGAGAUGUUGGGUUAAGUCCCGUAACGAGCGAAACCCCUGUCGUUAGUUGCCAGCGGGUAAUGCCGGGGACUCUAGCGAGACUGCCGGUGUCAAACCGGAGGAAGGUGGGGAUGACGUCAAGUCCUCAUGGCCUUUAUGCCCAGGGCUGCAAACGUGCUACAAUGGCCGGGACAAUACGAUGCAAGACCGCGAGGUGGAGCAAAUCGCCAAAACCGGCCCCAGUUCGGAUUGCAGUCUGCAACUCGACUGCAUGAAGUUGGAAUCGCUAGUAAUCGCAGAUCAGCUAUGCUGCGGUGAAUAUGUUCCUGAGCCUUGUACACACCGCCCGUCAAGUCAUGGAAGCCGGCAGCACCCGAAGUCGGUCCGCCUCAGGGCUGCCGAAGGUGAGGUCGGUGACUGGGACU
rnacentral:rRNA from 1 species